rnacentral:rRNA from 1 species
CACGUAGGGCGCGAGCGUUGUCCGGAAUUAUUGGGCGUAAAGAGCUCGUAGGCGGCCUGUUGCGUCCGCUGUGAAAGCCCGGGGCUUAACCCCGGGUCGCAGUGGAUACGGGCAGGCUAGAGGUAGGUAGGGGAGAAUGGAAUUCCCGGUGUAGCGGUGAAAUGCGCAGAGUAUCGGGAGGAACACCGGUGGCGAAGGCGGUUCUCUGGGCCUUACCUGACGCUGAGGAGCGAAAGCGUGGGGAGCGAACAGG